AUUGAACGCUGGCGGCAUGCUUUACACAUGCAAGUCGAACGGUAACGAAGAGAAGCUUGCUCCUCUGUCGGAGAGUGGCGAACGGGAGAGUAUAGCAUCUGAACGGGCCGAGUACUGGGGGAUAACCUAACGAAAGAUUGGCUAAUACCGCGUACGCUCCAAGGAGGAAAGUAUGGGACCUAAAUGAGGCCUUACGCUAUUUGAUCAGGCGAUGGCGGAUUAUCUAGUUGGUGGGGUAAUGGCUCACUCACGCAAUGAUCCGUACCGGGUCUAAGAGAGACGGAUCCGCCACACUGGGACUGACACACAGCCCAGACUCCUACCGGAGGCAGCAGUGGGGAAUUUUGGACAAUGGGGGAAACCCUGAUCCACCCAUGCCGCGUGUAUGAAGAAAGACUUAUGGCUGUAAAGUACUUUUGUUAGGGAAGAAAAACUAGUUUUUAAAAAAAAUUAUUGAUGACGGUACCUAAACAAUAAGCACCGGCUAACUACAUGACAUGCCCCGCGGUAAUACAUACGGUGCGACCGUAUAAUCGGAAUUAUUGAUCGUAAAGCGAGUGCAGACGGUAGCUAAGUCAGAUGUGAAAUCCCCAAGCUUAACUUGGUACGUGCAUGUGAAACUGGGUGCCUAGAGUGUGUCAGAGGGAGGUAGAAUUCCACAUGUAGCGGUGGAAUGCGUAGAGAUGUGGAAGAACUCCCGAGGGCAAAGGCACUCUCCUGGGAUAACACUGACGUUGAAGGCUAGAAAGCGGGGGGAACCAACCGGAUUAGAUACCCUGGUAGUCCCCCCCCCAAACGAUGACAAUGAGCUGUUUGGGCUUUGAAAGACUCAGUAGCGAAGCUAACGCGAGAAACUGUCCGCCUGGGGAGUACGGUCGCAAGAUUAAAACUCAAAGGAAUUGACGGGGACCCGCACAAGCGGUGGAUCAUGUGGAUUAAUUCGAUGCAACGCGAAGAACCUUACCUGGUCUUGGCAUGUAUGGAAUCUUUUAGAGAUAAAAAAGUGCCUUCGGGACCCGUAACACAGGUGGUGCAUGGCUGUCGUCAGCUCGUGUCGUGAGAUGUUGGGUUAAGUCCCGCAACGAGCGCAACCCUUGUCAUUAGUUGCCAUCAUUCGGUUGGGCACUCUAAUGAGACUGCCGGUGAUAAGCCGGAGGAAGGUGGGGAUGAUGUCAAGUCCUCAUGCCCCUUAUGACCAGGGCUUCACACGUCAUACAAUGGUAGGUACAGAGGGUAGCCAAUCCGUAAGGUGGAGCCAAUCUCAGAAAGCCCAUCGUAGUCCGGAUUAUAGUCUGCAACUCGCCUACAUAAAGUCGGAAUCGCUAGUAAUCGCAGAUCAGCAUGCUGCGGUGAAUACGUUCCCGGGUCU
rnacentral:rRNA from 1 species